CCAGGUGUAGUUCAGUGUACAGUAUGUGCUCAGCAUGCACAAGACCCUGGGUUCAAUUCCCAGCACCCAAA
rnacentral:tRNA from 1 species